UACAGCCACAUCAUGUUGAAACAUCGAUUCCCGUACAAUCUCCGAAGUUAAGCACCAUUGGGCUUGGUCAGUAUCUAGAUAGGUGAUCGCUUGGGAAUAUCAGAUGCCGUAAG